rnacentral:rRNA from 1 species
UACGAAGGGGGCUAGCGUUGCUCGGAAUCACUGGGCGUAAAGCGCACGUAGGCGGAUUCUUAAGUCAGGGGUGAAAUCCCGGAGCUCAACUCCGGAACUGCCUUUGAUACUGAGAGUCUCGAGUUCGGGAGAGGUGAGUGGAACUGCGAGUGUAGAGGUGAAAUUCGUAGAUAUUCGCAAGAACACCAGUGGCGAAGGCGGCUCACUGGCCCGAUACUGACGCUGAUGCACGAAAGCGUGGGGAGCAAACAGG